GCAUCAGUGAUGAUGUGAGCUUCGACCAAAUUUCAUAAAGCUUGCAAAAGAUGCCUACACACCUGAUCUCAUUGCAGCAUCAGAAUGCAUGCUUGGGAAAAUUGGAUAUGGCACUGUCAGUGAAGCCCUGGCAUUAAAGCUACCAUUUGUCUUUUUGCGCAGAGAUUAUUUCAAUGAAGAACCCUUUUGGAGAAAUAUGCUCGAGCUCUUCCACAUCGUUUUGAUACUAGUGAAAUAUGAUGUCUUGAACCAGUGUUACCAGUGUGGUGUGUUGAGAUGAUUAGGAG